rnacentral:rRNA from 1 species
CAAGUCUUGACAUUGGAAUGACACCCUUAUAACUAAGGUCCUCCUACGGGACAUUCCAGACGGGUGGUGCAUGGUUGUCGUCAGCUCGUGUCGUGAGAUGUUGGGUUAAGUCCCGCAACGAGCGCAACCCUUAUCCUUAGUAGCCAGCAGUUCGGCUGGGCACUCUGGGGAGACUGCCAGGGAUAACCUGGAGGAAGGUGGGGAUGACGUCAAAUCAUCAUGCCCCUUAUGAUUUGGGCUACACACGUGCUACAAUGGCGUAAACAAAGGGAAGCGAAGGAGCGAUCUGGAGCAAACCCCAAAAAUAACGUCUCAGUUCGGAUUGUAGUCUGCAACUCGACUACAUGAAGCUGGAAUCGCUAGUAAUCGCAGAUCAGAAUGGUGCGGUGAAUACGUUCCC